AGCCCAAGUGUAAACCCGUCACAGAGAUCAACUCUCACGUGAAUCCAUUACCCUCGGAGAGAAUAAAGGAGAUGCUGCCGGGGCCGACGCCGACGCUGACGCUGACGCUGGUGGGAACCCUGUUUGGGCCGGGCAUCUUAGAUGCACUCCGUUGCCCUCUGCAAGCUCCUCUAUAUCCGGCGUACGCAACUGCCCCUUCCUUCCUCCGGCACCCCAAACCCUAAUCUUCUUUGAUAUCUUCUUCUUUAGUGUUGGAUGGGUGGGAUCGAUCGGUUCUACGUUACCUUGCGUGCUGGGAUGAGGCUGAGGGUCGUCUUCGUGAAUCAUUUCGUAGGACGACGACCUCGAGGCGGCGGUUGACAAGAUGCUGCACAAGGCAAUGGCCGUCAACCAGUACAGAAACUUCUGUGUUCAAGAAGCAUUCUUUCUGAUCCCUCGCGUUGAAGGUUUGCGAGAUAUGAGAGUUUGUGGAAGAAUUGAGGGGUGAGGACGCCAAGUAUCCACAUGAGGUGGUACUGUUAGGGACCACUGAAAGAUUGAGAUGGUCGCGCUAUGUAAUUGAAGAUUGUGGAUGUAUUUUGAUGUUCGAAGGAUUCGAUAACAAAAUAGAUAUUGCACACCUAAAAAUUUGUAACAAUGAGCACAGACAGAGAAAAUUAAAAGGAAAUAACAAUGACAAUUAGGGAAGGAAGGAAGGAUAUAUACUAUAUGAAAGAAAAGAAUACUGAAAUAUCCUACAUAAUUUCCUUUCUCUUUUGUUAUUGUAUGCCAAGUUUCAGACAACAUUGUUUUUCACAUUGUCUGACUCGGCACAGUUCAAUAAGGUAAUGAUUUAGAACUUGUUCAUUUGAUUCAUAAUGCUCAUGGGACUUCCUAUUUUCUUGGUGGA